rnacentral:misc_RNA from 1 species
GGAAGGACAAAUUGUUCGGUCACAUGGCGUUGUUCGAAGGACAUAUGCCGGCGGUAGAAACGGCGCCGGCGAUUGAAAAUGAAAAGGAUGUGGGAGUGGAUAUCAAUGGUGGGUCGGGUAAUGGGUUGAUGGAUAUUAGAACCGGGUCGGAUAAUGGGUUUUUGGAUAGGUUAAUGCUUGAUGGGUUUGAAUCUAUUGAUAGUUAUUGCUUCCAAGAUUUAUUCGAAUCUUCUUCACCAAAUGGUUUAAAUACGGUUCCAAACACUACUGGAUGGUUUGUUUAGGUUCUCGUUGAUGGGGUUGCUUUUUGUUUAAUCAGAUAUUUUGAAUUCGAGCUUUGUUCGUUAAAAUGUUUUUGCUAGGGAACGUUUUAUGCUAAUGUAUAUUUGAAAUGAUGUGCUAGAAUGCAGAUAAUAGAGAAGUUUUAGCUAUAUGUUUUAUUUGUUUGUUGUCUUAUUAGAGUACAUAUGUUGUAUUCUUUGUAUUCUUUUCUUCU